rnacentral:rRNA from 1 species
AACGAACGCUGGCGGCAGGCUUAACACAUGCAAGUCGAACGGCUCUUCGGAGCAGUGGCGGACGGGUGAGUAACGCGUGGGAAUGUGCCCUUUGGUACGGAACAACACAGGGAAACUUGUGCUAAUACCGUAUGUGCCCUUCGGGGGAAAGAUUUAUCGCCAUUGGAGCAGCCCGCGUUGGAUUAGGUAGUUGGUGAGGUAAAGGCUCACCAAGCCUACGAUCCAUAGCUGGUCUGAGAGGAUGACCAGCCACACUGGGACUGAGACACGGCCCAGACUCCUACGGGAGGCAGCAGUAGGGAAUCUUGCGCAAUGGGCGAAAGCCUGACGCAGCCAUGCCGCGUGUAUGAUGAAGGUCUUAGGAUUGUAAAAUACUUUCACCGGGGAAGAUAAUGACGGUACCCGGAGAAGAAGCCCCGGCUAACUUCGUGCCAGCCGCCGCAGUAAGAC